AUUGAACGCUGGCGGCAGGCCUAACACAUGCAAGUCGAGCGGAUGAAGAGAGCUUGCUCUCUGAUUUAGCGGCGGACGGGUGAGUAAUGCCUAGGAAUCUGCCUGGUAGUGGGGGAUAACGUUCCGAAAGGAACGCUAAUACCGCAUACGUCCUACGGGAGAAAGCAGGGGACCUUCGGGCCUUGCGCUAUCAGAUGAGCCUAGGUCGGAUUAGCUAGUUGGUGGGGUAAUGGCUCACCAAGGCGACGAUCCGUAACUGAUCUGAGAGGAUGAUCAGUCACACUGGAACUGAGACACGGUCCAGACUCCUACGGGAGGCAGCAGUGGGGAAUAUUGGACAAUGGGCGAAAGCCUGAUCCAGCCAUGCCGCGUGUGUGAAGAAGGUCUUCGGAUUGUAAAGCACUUUAAGUUGGGAGGAAGGGCAGUAAGUUAAUACCUUGCUGUUUUGACGUUACCGACAGAAUAAGCACCGGCUAACUUCGUGCCAGCCGCCGCCGUAAGAC
rnacentral:rRNA from 1 species